GACAGAGGGAGCUAGCGUUGUUCGGAAUUACUGGGCGUAUAGCGCGCGUAGGCGGCGAAUCAAGUCAGGGGUGAAAUCCCGGGGCUCAACCCCGGAACUGCCCUUGAAACUAGCUCGCUAGAAUCUUGGAGAGGUCAGUGGAAUUCCGAGUGUAGAGGUGAAAUUCGUAGAUAUUCGGAAGAACACCAGUGGCGAAGGCGACUGACUGGACAAGUAUUGACGCUGAGGUGCGAAAGCGUGGGGAGCAAACAGG
rnacentral:rRNA from 1 species